rnacentral:rRNA from 1 species
GAUGAACGCUGGCGGUAUGCUUAACACAUGCAAGUCGAACGGACUCUUCGGAGUUAGUGGCGGACGGGUGAGUAACGCGUGAGAAUCUGGCUUUGGGUUCGGGACAACCACUGGAAACGGUGGCUAAUACCGGAUGUGCCGAGAGGUAAAAGAGAAAUUGCCUGAAGAUGAGCUCGCGUCUGAUUAGCUAGUUGGUGAGGUAAAGGCUCACCAAGGCAGCGAUCAGUAGCUGGUCUGAGAGGAUGACCAGCCACACUGGGACUGAGACACGGCCCAGACACCUACGGGAGGCAGGAGUGGGGAAUGUUCCGCAAUGGGCGAAAGUCUGACGGAGCAAUACCGCGUGAGGGAAGAAGGCUCUUGGGUUGUAAACCUCUUUUCUUAGGGAAGAACAAAAUGACGGUACCUAAGGAAUCAGCAUCGGCUAACUCCGUG